UACGAAGGGGGCAAGCGUUGUUCGGAAUUACUGGGCGUAAAGCGUGCGCAGGCGGUUUUGUAAGUCUGACGUGAAAUCCCCGGGCUUAACCUGGGAAUUGCGUUGGAGACUGCAAGGCUGGAGUCUGGCAGAGGGGGGUAGAAUUCCACGUGUAGCAGUGAAAUGCGUAGAGAUGUGGAGGAACACCGAUGGCGAAGGCAGCCCCCUGGGUCAAGACUGACGCUCAUGCACGAAAGCGUGGGGAGCAAACAGG
rnacentral:rRNA from 1 species